CUAGAUAAGUGAAAGAGACAAUAAGUGUGACUAAGUCGUUUGUUGUGCGCAGGCGCAAUUGAUCGUCACAGUUUUCCCGCAGUUUGACAAGAGUGCAAGAAAAUAUUUUGUUGUGGAUUUCGUAUUACACAAAGUCGAAGGCGAAACGUUCCACUAUGGGGUUGUGUUUAUCGUUCGACUGUGGUGAUGAUUGCUGCAGCGUAAACCCCUGUUGUUUGGCGUUAACGGCCUGUUGUUGCAUCCCUUGUCUAUGCCCGAACGCUUGUGGACAGGAACAGCAACAACAACCGCCCCAGACAGUGAUUAUCCAACAGCCACCUGUGUAUAUUGAACAACAACCAGGUUAUCCGCCACCUGGAGGCUACCCUGGAUACCCGCAGCAGCCACCACAGGGAUACCCGGGCUACCCCUCAUACAGAUAAACGGAUUCUCAAAUAGUUAAGGAUGGGCUGUAACAUAUCCUGUCGUCCAUGUUGCUGCUGUUGUAUACCAUGUCUUUGCUGUGACUGCUGCCCCGACCCACCACGUACCAGAGUUGUACACACUACAACUGUUGUUACUGUACCCGUUCAACCUACACCGCGCUAUGAGCCACCUCCCCCCUAUAGAUAAUCAAGAAACGUAAAAACGCAAUGUAACAAAAUCCUGUAAAAUUAGACACAGAACUAAAUUAGUAACUAGAGCCCGAAUCUAAAUAAAGUAGUUAGAUCCAAUAGAAGAAACAUUCGCAGUUAUACAAAUGGUAUUCCUAAUUAACUGCUGAUAGACUACGUCAUCUUGACCUUUAGGGGUGAAUAACCUCUAGUGUUCUGAACUAUGUCAUAGUUUUUUUUAUAAAAUACAGAUAUACAAUUUUGAGACUCUUUGGAAAUGUUAAAAUUGUUAAAGGGCUAGUUCGCAUAUUUCUAAUAAGAUUAAAUUCAUAAAAUAGCUUUGAAACUGUGUCCUAAUUUAGUAUUCUUAAAUACUUUUUAUGAUAUAAAAUCUUUACUUGAAUAUGCAAUCCGAAUUAUAUAGGUAAUACUUUAUGUACUUAAUAUUUAAUUUAGAAUAGGUAGCCUACGGCUAACAUUUUCAUUAUUUAAGAGCCUCAAUAACGCCGUUGACCUCGGGACUCUUUUUCGGACAUAAUUAUAGUUUUUUUUUAAACGGAGAUAUAGAUCAAGAAUAAAACUGUUUCAACUAUUAGCCUAAAUUUUCGAGGAUUUUUUAUUAG